UGGGGAAUAUUGCACAAUGGGGGAAACCCUGAUGCAGCGACGCCGCGUGAGCGAAGAAGUAUCUCGGUAUGUAAAGCUCUAUCAGCAGGGAAGAAAAUGACGGUACCUGACUAAGAAGCUCCGGCUAAAUACGUGCCAGCAGCCGCGGUAAUACGUAUGGAGCAAGCGUUAUCCGGAUUUACUGGGUGUAAAGGGAGUGUAGGCGGCUUUGCAAGUCAGAUGUGAAAGCCCGGGGCUCAACCCCGGGACUGCAUUUGAAACUGUGAAGCUGGAGUGUCGGAGAGGUAAGUGGAAUUCCUAGUGUAGCGGUGAAAUGCGUAGAUAUUAGGAAGAACACCAGUGGCGAAGGCGGCUUACUGGACGAUUACUGACGCUGAGGCUCGAAAGCGUGGGGGAGC
rnacentral:rRNA from 1 species